rnacentral:rRNA from 1 species
UACGGAGGGGGCUAGCGUUGUUCGGAAUUACUGGGCGUAAAGCGCACGUAGGCGGCUUUGCAAGUCAGAGGUGAAAGCCCGGGGCUCAACCCCGGAAUAGCCUUUGAGACUGCAUCGCUAGGAUUGUGGAGAGGUAAGUGGAAUUCCGAGUGUAGAGGUGAAAUUCGUAGAUAUUCGGAAGAACACCAGUGGCGAAGGCGACUUACUGGACACAUAUUGACGCUGAGGUGCGAAAGCGUGGGGAGCAAACAGGG